UUUCCAUCCGAGAAUCUAAACAAAUUAGUCAUUAGACUUAGACUUAUUUUGAUAUUGAGCUCUAUCUAACGCUAUUAGAUAAAAUAGAGUUGAGAAAAAAAUAUAUAGGAAUAUGUUUCUACGUUCUCCAGUGUGGGACCACAGAAAAUAUAUCAUAACAAACUCGCGGAACGCAAUAUUACGUACGAAAGCAAAUAAGGUAUUUUUUUCAACGUACUUUCUCACCGCACGUAACGCAAUCUUCCUGCAAAUCCCAAACGAAGCGGCUUAGUUUGGAAUUGGUGUAAAAGUAUAUAAGAAUAUAAUUCUGCGUUCUCCGAUAGAACAAUAGAAAAUAUAUCGUGACCGACUCAUCAUAAUAUACGGAACGUAAUAUUACGACGAAAACAAACAGAAUAUUUUUUUUUAUCGUACUUUCUCACCACGCGUAGCGUAAUUUUUUCGCAAUCCCAAAUAAAGUCUUGCACUCAUUUGAUCAAGACUUUAUAAC
rnacentral:lncRNA from 1 species